rnacentral:rRNA from 1 species
GGUCAAGCGAAUAAGUGCAUGUGGUGGAUGCCUUGGCGAUCACAGGCGAUGAAGGACGCAGUAGCUUGCGAAAAGCUGCGGGGAGCUGGCAAACGAGCUUUGAUCCGCAGAUGUCCGAAUGGGGAAACCCGGCCCGAAUGGGUCAUCUGUUACUGAAUUCAUAGGUAACAGAGGCGAACGCAGUGAACUGAAACAUCUAAGUAGCUGCAGGAAAAGAAAUCAACCGAGAUUCCCAAAGUAGUGGCGAGCGAAAUGGGAUCAGCCUUGUACUCUUUAGCAGUAUUGUUAGCAAAACGGAAUGGAAAGUCCGGCCAUAGUGGGUGAUAGCCCCGUAUGCGAAAACAGUAUUGUGGAACUAGGUGUACGACAAGUAGGGCGGGACACGUGAAAUCCUGUCUGAAGAUGGGGGGACCAUCCUCCAAGGCUAAAUACUCGUGAUCGACCGAUAGUGAACCAGUACCGUGAGGGAAAGGCGAAAAGAACCCCGGGAGGGGAGUGAAAUAGAUCCUGAAACCGCAUGCAUACAAACAGUCGGAGCCUGGAAACGGGUGACGGCGUACCUUUUGUAUAAUGGGUCAGCGACUUACAUUCAGUGGCAAGCUUAACCGAUUAGGGAAGGCGUAGCGAAAGCGAGUCCGAAUAGGGCGUUCAGUCGCUGGGUGUAGACCCGAAACCAAGUGAUCUAUCCAUGGCCAGGUUGAAGGUGCGGUAACACGUACUGGAGGACCGAACCCACUAACGUUGAAAAGUUAGGGGAUGAGCUGUGGAUAGGGGUGAAAGGCUAAACAAACUUGGAAAUAGCUGGUUCUCUCCGAAAACUAUUUAGGUAGUGCCUCGUGUCUCACCUUCGGGGGUAGAGCACUGUCAUGGUUGGGGGGUCUAUUGCUGAUUACCCCGCCAUAGCAAACUCCGAAUACCGAAGAGUGCAAUCACGGGAGACAGACAUCGGGUGCUAACGUCCGGUGUCAAGAGGGAAACAACCCAGACCGCCAGCUAAGGUCCCUAAGAUUGGCUAAGUGGGAAACGAAGUGGGAAGGCUAAAACAGUCAGGAGGUUGGCUUAGAAGCAGCCACCCUUUAAAGAAAGCGUAAUAGCUCACUGAUCGAGUCGUCCUGCGCGGAAGAUGUAACGGGGCUAAGCCAGUCACCGAAGCUGCGGAUGCACGUAAGUGCAUGGUAGGAGAGCGUUCUGUAAGCCUGUGAAGGUGUCUUGUGAAGGAUGCUGGAGGUAUCAGAAGUGCGAAUGCUGACAUGAGUAGCGAUAAAGGGGGUGAAAGGCCCCCUCGCCGUAAGCCCAAGGUUUCCUACGCAACGUUCAUCGGCGUAGGGUGAGUCGGCCCCUAAGGCGAGGCAGAGAUGCGUAGCUGAUGGGAAGCAGGUUAAUAUUCCUGCACCGUCGUAUGAUGCGAUGGGGGGACGGAUCGCGGAAGGUUGUCCGGGUGUUGGAUGUCCCGGUCCCUACAUUGGAGAUGGCACUUAGGCAAAUCCGGGUGCGUGAUUCAAGGGUGUGGGGCGAGCGACUUUAGGUCGCGAAGCAA